rnacentral:lncRNA from 1 species
UGCUAUUAAACAGAGGAUAAUCUUAAAUAUAUAACCAACACAGGGUUUCGAGAUAAAGUUGAAGACUUCAAAAUUAAUAAUAAUCAACAUUUCUUUUAUAGCGACAACUUUACAUGUAUUGUUUGUUGCUAUUUGUAAAUCCACAGAGCUUGUUAUUUGUGGUACAGAAGAUUAUGGACCAUCUGUUUGUUGUUUUUUUUUUGUUUUUUUAUUAUUUUUGUUUGUCAAAUGAACAAGAAAAUUCAAACUGAGAGAACGUACGCAUCUAAAUGUCAUGAUGAUAAAACAGGCA